UACAGAGGUCCCAAGCGUUGUUCGGAUUCACUGGGCGUAAAGGGUGCGCAGGUGGGUUGGCAAGUUUGAUGUGAAAGCCCCGGGCUUAACCCGGGAAUGGCAUUGAAUACUGCUGAUCUGGAGGAUCGGAGGGGGGACUGGAAUUCUUGGUGUAGCAGUGAAAUGCGUAGAUAUCAAGAGGAACACCGGUGGCGAAGGCGGUGAUCUGGGCCGACACUGACGCUGUAGAGCGAAAGCGUGGGGAGCGAACAGG
rnacentral:rRNA from 1 species